rnacentral:rRNA from 1 species
GCUACGGGUGGCUGCAGUGAGGAAUAUUGGUCAAUGGACGCAAGUCUGAACCAGCCAUGCCGCGUGCAGGAAGACGGCUCUAUGAGUUGUAAACUGCUUUUGUACGAGGGUAAACACAGAUACGCGUAUCUGUCUGAAAGUAUCGUACGAGUGAGGAUCGGCUAACUCCGUGCCAGCGGCCGCGGUAAAACGGAGGAUUCAAGCGUUAUCCGGAUUUAUUGGGUUUAAAGGGUGCGUAAGCGGUAGGAUAAGUUAGAGGUGAAGUCCCGAGGUUCAACUUCGGAAUUGCUUCUGAUACUGUUCGGCUAGAGAGUAGUUGAGGUAGGCGGAAUGUAUGGUGUAGCGGUGAAAUGCGUAGAGAUCAUACAGAACACCGAUUGCGAAGGCAGCUUACCAAGCUACUUCUGACGUUGAGGCACGAAAGCGUGGGGAGCAAACAGGAUUAGAUACCCCAGUAGUC